CUACUACUCCCUUUGUCUCAUAUUAAGUGACUCAAAUUUGCUCAAAUAUGAAUAUAUCUAUGCCUAAAAAAUGUCUAGAUACAUGUAAUAAAAAGUCACUUGAUAUGAGACGGAGGGAGUAGUUU
rnacentral:pre_miRNA from 1 species